CACGUAGGGUGCGAGCGUUGUCCGGAAUUAUUGGGCGUAAAGAGCUCGUAGGCGGUGUGUCGCGUCGGCUGUGAAAACCCACAGCUUAACUGUGGGCCUGCAGCCGAUACGGGCGAGCUAGAGUUCGGUAGGGGAGACUGGAAUUCCUGGUGUAGCGGUGAAAUGCGUAGAUAUCCGGAGGAACACCAGUGGCGAAAGCGGCCACCUGGACUGUACCUGACGCUGACACGCGAAAGCUAGGGGAGCGAACGGG
rnacentral:rRNA from 1 species